rnacentral:lncRNA from 15 species
AUGUCUGAGGCUGAUGCAAUAGUGUACUCUGAUGUUAAGUUCCCAAGACCGAAGAUAAACACCAGUGGGACCGUUUCCUCAGAGGCUGAACCCACAUACUCUGAAGUCAGGAUCUUGAAGACUCAGCCAUCCACAGAGCUCCCUGUUGUCCCCAGUGUUCGCUCCAUGUUCCACUCUCUACCUGCCUUCCUGAUCCUUUGUGUAAGCCAAUCCCUCUCUUCCUUAUAAUUAUUACAACUCUUAAGUGUGUGUUCUACAUUUUCUCUUGUUCUGACCCAUUAUUACCGAUUGGAAAAAGAGUUUUGUUUAGACCUGUAUAAUCAAAUCUUAAUCUAGUUAAAAUGACUUCCUCCCUAUUUUUUCUCCCAACACCCUGUGCAUUAAUUGAUUUCUGUAAUUCGUAAUAUUUUUAUAAUAUGUAAUUCUUCCUCCUCUUCUUCUUGAUUUACAGUGGUUGACAUCCAAGUUAUAAGUGCACACACACACACAAAAACAACACACUGUAUCCUCCGUGUUUUACAUCAUAUAGUCCUACCAUAGAAUCCCUAUAAAUAUCUAUAAAUAUCAGCCACCCUAUCACCUAUUCCUGUUUAUCCUUCCUAUCCUAUAGAAAACCCCUGUAUCCCUUCAAAAAGCCAACAAUACCCUAACAUGUGCUCUCUCACCCAUGCAAUCCUUUUAAUGUGUACCCCUAAUUCCCUCAUUUUACUACAACUGAAAACUAUAUGCUCCACGGACACUUCCUGGCAUCCCUCACAUAAGCUUGUCUGUCCCAAAUCACUUUCCUGUGUCCACUAAUCGUGAGCUGUGGGGAUGUGUGGCCCAGGUAAUCACAGCUGUUUUCAUACAGUGUCACAGCAAACUCACAACAUGGAAUAUAAAAACAGCAAAUCCAUAACACCAUGCAAUAAAUCAAUAAAACAAUUUAAUGUAAAACUAAUUAAAACAACACUCUGACUGGUAAAAUCCACACUCUGAGUACCACACUCUGCAACUGGAUAUUGGACUUCAAAAAACAGACCCCAGACAGUUCGGAUUGGAAGUCACACCUCCUCCACUCUUGUGCUCAACACUGGAGCUCAUCAUGGCUAUGUGCUCAGCCCCCUCCUGUUUAUACUGUACAGCCAUGACUGCAUCCCCUGACAUGGAGACAACUCUGUUGUGAAGUUUGCAGAUGACACCACCAUCAUCGGCCGGAUUUCCAACAAUAAUGAGACUUCAUAUCAGGAAAUCAAAAGUCUUGCAAAGCAGUUCACAUAAAACAACCUACUGUUCAACGUCAGCAAAACAAAGGAGCAGAUUGUGGAUUUUAGGAAAAAAGAGACAGACACACACCCCUGUUUGCUGAGGUGGAGCUGAGGUGGAGCAGGUGAACAAUUUUAAGUUGCUGGGAAUUAACAUCACAGAGAACCUGUCAUGGUCAUGUCACAUCUCCACUCUGGUUAAGGAAGCACAGAAACGACUGUAUUUCUUAAGAAAACUUGAGAAAGCAAAAUUCAUAUGCCAAGUUCUUGCUGACUUCUACAGAGGAGAAACAAAAAGCAAGCAACUGGAA